rnacentral:rRNA from 1 species
GUAGGGUGCAAGCGUUGUCCGGAAUUAUUGGGCGUAAAGCGCGCGCAGGUGGGUUCUUUAAGUCUGAUGUGAAAGCCCCCGGGCUCAACCGGGGAGGGUCAUUGGAAACUGGGGAACUUGAGUGCAGGAGAGGAAAGUGGAAUUCCACGUGUAGCGGUGAAAUGCGUAGAUAUGUGGAGGAACACCAGUGGCGAAGGCGACUUUCUGGCCUGUAACUGACACUGAGGCGCGAAAGCGUGGGGAGCAAACAGGAUUAGAUACCCUGGUAGUCCACGCCGUAAACGAUGAGUGCUAAGUGUUGGGGGGUUUCCGCCCCUCAGUGCUGCAGCUAACGCAUUAAGCACUCCGCCUGGGGAGUACGGUCGCAAAGACUG